rnacentral:tRNA from 1 species
GGUCACGUGGCGGAAUUGGUAUACGCGUACGUCUCAGAAGCGUAUCCCGUAAGGGUUGGGGGUUCGAGUCCCCCCGUGACCACCA